rnacentral:rRNA from 1 species
UACGUAGGUGGCAAGCGUUGUCCGGAUUUAUUGGGUUUAAAGGGUGCGUAGGCGGCCUAUUAAGUCAGUGCUGAAAUAUCCCGGCUUAACCGGGAGGGUGGCAUUGAUACUGAUGGGCUUGAGUAGAGUUGAGGUUGGCGGAAUUGACGGUGUAGCGGUGAAAUGCUUAGAUAUCGUCAAGAACACCGAUAGUGCAGACAGCUAACUAAGCUCAAACUGACGCUGAGGCACGAAAGUGUGGGGAUCAAACAGG